GACGAACGCUGGCGGCGUGCUUAACACAUGCAAGUCGAGCGGAGCGGCGGAAGGGUGAGUAACGCGUGAGUAACUGUCCCCCUCUCUGGGAUAACAGUUGGAAACGGCUGCUAAUACCGGAUAGUGGGGGAUGACGGGCGUCCUAUCGGCUUGUUGGUGGGGUAGUGGCCUACCAAGGCGACGACGGGUAGCCGGCCUGAGGGGGCGAACGGCCAAAUUGGGCUGAGGUACACCGCAAACGCCUACAGGAGGCAGCAGUGGGAAGUAUUGCACAACGGCGGAAACGGUGAUGCACGACCCCUCGUGCUGGAUGAACGCCUUCGGGUUGUAAACCGCUUGCAGCCAUGUGGCGAUAGUGGCACAGGAAGCACCGGCUAACAACGUGCCCGCAGCCGCGGUAAUAC
rnacentral:rRNA from 1 species